CUAAAAAGCAGGACUGAGA
rnacentral:piRNA from 1 species